GAUGAACGCUGGCGGCGUGCCUAAUACAUGCAAGUCGAGCGAAUGGAUUAAGAGCUUGCUCUUAUGAAGUUAGCGGCGGACGGGUGAGUAACACGUGGGUAACCUGCCCAUAAGACUGGGAUAACUCCGGGAAACCGGGGCUAAUACCGGAUAACAUUUUGAACCGCAUGGUUCAAAAUUGAAAGGCGGCUUCGGCUGUCACUUAUGGAUGGACCCGCGUCGCAUUAGCUAGUUGGUGAGGUAACGGCUCACCAAGGCAACGAUGCGUAGCCUACCUGUGAGGGGGAUCGGCCACACUGGGACUGAGACACGGACCAGACUCCUACGGGAGGCAGCAGUAGGGGAUCUUCCGCAAUGGGCGAAAGUCUGACGGAGCAACGCCGCGUGAGUGAGGAAGGCUUUCGGGUCGUAAAACUCUGUUGUUAGGGAAGAACAAGUGCUAGUUGAAUAAGCUGGCACCUUGACGGUACCUAACCAGAAAGCCACGGCUAACUACGUGCCAGCCGCCGCGGUAA
rnacentral:rRNA from 1 species